GGUUUAAUUCGAAGCAACGCGAAGAACCUUACCAGGUCUUGACAUCCCGAUGCUAUUUCUAGAGAUAGAAAGUUACUUCGGUACAUCGGUGACAGGUGGUGCAUGGUUGUCGUCAGCUCGUGUCGUGAGAUGUUGGGUUAAGUCCCGCAACGAGCGCAACCCUUGUCAUUAGUUGCUACAUUCAGUUGGGCACUCUAAUGAGACUGCCGGUGACAAACCGGAGGAAGGUGGGGAUGACGUCAAGUCCUCAUGGCCCUUAUAGGUGGGGCUACACACGUCAUACAAUGGAUGGUACAAAGGGUCGCCAACCUGCGAGGGGGAGCCAAUCCCAUAAAGCCAUUCGUAGUCCGGAUCGCAGUCUGCAACUCGACUGCGUGAAGUCGGAAUCGCUAGUAAUCGUGGAUCAGAAUGUCACGGUGAAUACGUUCCCGGGUCUU
rnacentral:rRNA from 1 species